GAAAAUUUUAAAUAUACACUUUCGAUCUAAAAACUAAAAAUGUAAACAACAUUUUGUCCAAUCUUAUCAAUUUUCAGGAAGAAAACAAAAAUAUUAAUUACGUAAAAUGGUAUGCCUAAAUCGCUAUCCAAUUAGGCGCACGCGUAGCACGUUCGCUUUCAGUUAUUCUACGGCGCAAUCAUACUGAAGCUGGAGAUUACUGAAAAUAUGCCAAAAAAAAAACAUGUUUUUCUGGCAGGUUCCCACCAUUCUCAUCCUUAGUCAUUAUGUAUUCACUCUUCCUGCUGCCUUUGCUGCCGUCCGAAGGGUCGCUGUUGU